rnacentral:rRNA from 1 species
UACGUAGGCAGCAAGCGUUGUUCGGAGUUACUGGGCGUAAAGAGUGCGUAGGCGGUGCUCUAAGUUUGGUGUGAAAUCUCCCGGCUUAACUGGGAGGGUGCGCCGAAAACUGGAGUGCUUGAGUAUGGGAGAGGCAAGCGGAAUUCCUGGUGUAGCGGUGAAAUGCGUAGAUAUCGGGAGGAACACCUGUGGCGAAAGCGGCGCACUGGACCAUAACUGACGCUGAUGCGCGAAAGCUAGGGGAGCAAACAGG